rnacentral:rRNA from 1 species
UACGUAGGUGGCAAGCGUUGUCCGGAUUUAUUGGGUUUAAAGGGUGCGUAGGCGGCUUUGUAAGUCAGUGGUGAAAUAUGGCAGCUCAACUGUCAAGGUGCCAUUGAUACUGCGGAGCUUGAGUACAGAUGAGGUAGGCGGAAUUGACGGUGUAGCGGUGAAAUGCUCAGAUAUCGUCAAGAACACCUAUAGCGAAGGCAGCUUACUAGGCUGUAACUGACGCUGAGGCACGAAAGUGUGGGGAUCAAACAGG